rnacentral:rRNA from 1 species
UACGGGGGGGGCAAGCGUUGUUCGGAAUUACUGGGCGUAAAGCGCACGUAGGCGGCUUUGUAAGUUAGAGGUGAAAGCCCGGGGCUCAACCCCGGAAUUGCCUUUAAGACUGCAUCGCUUGAAUCCAGGAGAGGUGAGUGGAAUUCCGAGUGUAGAGGUGAAAUUCGUAGAUAUUCGGAAGAACACCAGUGGCGAAGGCGGCUCACUGGACUGGUAUUGACGCUGAGGUGCGAAAGCGUGGG